rnacentral:rRNA from 1 species
CAUCCGCCCGAUUACUACGAGCCCCAGCUUAAAACUCAAAGGACUUGGCGGCGUCUCCACCCGACUAGAGGAGCCUGUUCUAGAACCGAUAACCCCCGUUUAAGCUCACCACCCCUUGUUUUCACAGCCUAUAUACCGCCGUCGUCAGCUUACCCUGUGAAGAAUAAUAGUAAGCAAAAUGGGCACAACCCAAAACG